rnacentral:misc_RNA from 1 species
UUACUUUCGUUUUUAUACAUGUUUGUACAUUACAAGACAUUUUAUUGGCAGUAGUGUUUUAAAAAAGGUUUUCAAAUGCACAGGUGUAUGAUAUGAAUGGAUUCGGGAUUCUCUUUGCAGAGUCACCCUAAAUUCACUAAUGAUCCUUCCGCAGGUUCACCUACGGAAA